rnacentral:rRNA from 1 species
UACAGAGGGGGCAAGCGUUGUUCGGAAUUACUGGGCGUAAAGGGCGCGUAGGCGGCCUGCUAAGUCGAACGUGAAAUCCCUGGGCUCAACCCAGGAACUGCGUCCGAUACUGGUUGGCUUGAAUCCGGGAGAGGGAUGUGGAAUUCCAGGUGUAGCGGUGAAAUGCGCAGAUAUCAGGAGGAACACCGGUGGCGAAGGCGGUUCUCUGGGCAUGACCUGACGCUGAGGAGCGAAAGUGUGGGGAGCGAACAGG